ACGGGUGAGUAAUGCCUAGGAAUCUGCCUGGUAGUGGGGGAUAACGUUCGGAAACGGACGCUAAUACCGCAUACGUCCUACGGGAGAAAGCAGGGGACCUUCGGGCCUUGCGCUAUCAGAUGAGCCUAGGUCGGAUUAGCUAGUUGGUGAGGUAAUGGCUCACCAAGGCGACGAUCCGUAACUGGUCUGAGAGGAUGAUCAGUCACACUGGAACUGAGACACGGUCCAGACUCCUACGGGAGGCAGCAGUGGGGAAUAUUGGACAAUGGGCGAAAGCCUGAUCCAGCCAUGCCGCGUGUGUGAAGAAGGUCUUCGGAUUGUAAAGCACUUUAAGUUGGGAGGAAGGGCAGUUACCUAAUAAGUGAUUGUUUUGACGUUACCGACAGAAUAAGCACCGGCUAACUCUGUGCCAGCAGCCGCGGUAAUACAGAGGGUGCAAGCGUUAAUCGGAAUUACUGGGCGUAAAGCGCGCGUAGGUGGUUUGUUAAGUUGGAUGUGAAAUCCCCGGGCUCAACCUGGGAACUGCAUUCAAAACUGACUGACUAGAGUAUGGUAGAGGGUGGUGGAAUUUCCUGUGUAGCGGUG
rnacentral:rRNA from 4 species